UUCCAUAUUAUGGUUAAGUUAUUUUUACUACUGAAACACCUCACAAUGAAAGCUCAAGACUCUGACAACCCUUAUAUCGUUCUGAGACGCGUUUUUGUCGAUUUUGCUUUCACUAGCCACAUGAUAAUCUACACUAAAAUCACUUUCGUGUUUCACUUCUUGACUUUACUCCUCGAAACUUAUUACAUGAUUACAAACUUUAAUGUGGAACUCUUUUCACGUUAUGGUUGCAUGAUGUGCCUCAUGACUUAUAUCGUUUUGGCUAAACUAUUGGAAAUUUUAUUUGCCAGACAUAUCAAAUUUUUGGAGGAAGAGCGUCUUUCUCAUUUCUGGAAACUUGAAGAAAGUAGUGAAGAAACACAAAAAGUGGUGAACGCGGAAUCUUCAAAAAUUAGGAAAAAAACGUUUUUUGUUCUAUCGUGGUUUGUGGCGUUAGGGUUUGUUUUGUUCCCAAUUUUUGGGGAUUUGAACGAUUUGUUCAUGUUUGGUCGAGUGUAUAGGAAUUAUUUUGGAAGUUGGGCCAUUAUUCCCUUCUGUAUUUACGUUUCCACGUUUCCUUCGAUCGCUUACAACUCUAUUUGUUUACCAGCAGUUGUAUCAUAUUUUAUAUUUCACCUAAACUUACAGAUAAGCUUAAUAAAUGACAAACUUGGCAAAAUUUCAGAAAAAUCCCGCCAGAGCGAGAUUUACCAAAAAUUAUGCUCAUGUGUUGCUCACCACGUGAGGCUAAGAAGGUCAAUUUAAUUAAUUUUUUUGCGAUCUAAUUUCUACUUCCAGAUGGACAAAUAUAUUUCAAAAUGAGUUGGAAUCAGCUCUGCCUUUUUACCUCUUCUUGGGUGCUAUUAAUUCUAUUGCUGUCUCAUUUUUCAUUCUUUAUGUACUGAUUAAAAAAAAUUUUUUGUCGUAUAACAAUUUUUUUUAGAAUCUUCAAAACAUGACUCUAAUUUUUGAAAUACGUUUGGUCGUAAUUUCAGUCUGUAAUGUUCUGAUUCUUUGGAUUUUUGCUGAAGCUGGACAAGAAUUUAGUGAUAAUUCUGACUCAAUUUUUGAUGCUGUAGUAGCAUGUCCUUGGUACAGUUGGAACGCUCAAAAUCGGAAAAUUAUGUUGAUAUUUAUGCUGAAUUGUUUAAAACCAAUGACUUUUUCGUGGGGCGGCGUUAAACUCGACUAUCAAUUUACU